GCUGGCGGUAGGCUACACAUGCAAGUCGAACGGCAGCACAGUAAGAGCUUGCUCUUAUGGGUGGCGAGUGGCGGACGGGUGAGGAAUACAUCGGAAUCUACUUUUUCGUGGGGGAUAACGUAGGGAAACUUACGCUAAUACCGCAUACGACCUUCGGGUGAAAGCAGGGGACCUUCGGGCCUUGCGCGAUUGAAUGAGCCGAUGUCGGAUUAGCUAGUUGGCGGGGUAAAGGCCCACCAAGGCGACGAUCCGUAGCUGGUCUGAGAGGAUGAUCAGCCACACUGGAACUGAGACACGGUCCAGACUCCUACGGGAGGCAGCAGUGGGGAAUAUUGGACAAUGGGCGCAAGCCUGAUCCAGCCUUACCGCGUGGGUGAAGAAGGCCUUCGGGUUGUAAAGCCCUUUUGUUGGGAAAGAAAAGCAGCAGGCUAAUACCCCGCUGUUCUGACGGUACCCAAAGAAUAAGCACCGGCUAACUUCGUGCCAGCAGCCGCGGUAAU
rnacentral:rRNA from 1 species